rnacentral:tRNA from 1 species
GGCGUUGUAGCAAAGUGGUUAAUGCGACAGAUUAGAAAUCUGUUCCUCUUUGAGGGCACAGGUUCGAGUCCUGUCAACGUCG